GAAUUUGGAGUCCCUUAGAUCUACCGUUGAAUUAGAAAUAGAUCCUGCGGUCAAGAUUUUUAGAAUGAAAAUACGGUUUACAAAUUUCACCCAAUUUUAAACCUGGGUUACGCGCACGUUUCUUAAGAUUCGUAUCCCGCAUUCUCUACUGGCAGAUACAAGAGCGGCCGUUACCAAGAAGCCCUUAUUUUUCGCAGUGAUUGACCAUAGUCGAAGAACGAUAGAGACGUAAAGCACCUUCUGCUUGUGGGUUUGCAGGACGCAUUAUCAUUGUGGGGAAAUGAGUUCGGCACGACUGCUUUUGUCACUUCCUAGAAUGCUACUCAUUGCCACAACAAGCAGAUAUUGUAAACCUCCAACCCAGUGUUAUAAAAAAGAGUUGGUAGAUCAUAGAAAACGCGGUUGACUGUGGAGUCUUUGUCAUGCGACACUGGAAUCCUACAUGAGGAACCCUGUGACUUGGAAGAGUGGACAGCGGACCGAGAGGGAUAAUCAAAAAUUGUU